rnacentral:rRNA from 1 species
GUCGUAGGUGGCGAACGUUAUCCGGAAUUAUUGGGCGUAAAGGGAGCGUAGGUGGCCUGACAAGUUAUCAGUGGCAAAUCGAGGCUCAACCUCGUGGAAACUGGUAAUACUGUUCGGCUUGAGUACAGGAGAGGUUAACGGAACUCUAUGUGGAGCGGUAAAAUGCACAGAUAUAUAGAAGAACAUCAAUAAAGGCGAAGGCAGUUAACUAUUCUGUUACUGACGCUGAGGCACGAAAGCGUGGGGAGCAAAACGG